GUUUUAACUACUUGUAUGCUUUGGGGAGGAGGAACUUUCUGAUGUACCAAAAUGGGACAAAUACAAGGAACAUGCAAGCCCAAGUCAUGAAAGCUAACCUCGUUUCCACUUCAGGUUGUGGUCCUGUAAUGGACAGAAAACUUCUCAGCUACAUCAAAGUCAUAGACUCCAUCAAACCCUGGAGGACUGCUGGGAAGCCCUUUGUGUGUGACCGAUUCAGUCUCUGGGCUAGUUAGAGGAAAGGACAGAAGAAAAUGAAGCCCAAACAGAUAAUCGCAGCUACUGUGUCCUUCCUGUUUCACUCACCUGCCAGUAAAAAUCCAGGGUGCCUUGCUA